UACGAAGGGGGCUAGCGUUGCUCGGAAUCACUGGGCGUAAAGGGUGCGUAGGCGGGUCUUCAAGUCAGGGGUGAAAUCCUGGAGCUCAACUCCAGAACUGCCUUUGAUACUGAGGAUCUUGAGUCCGGGAGAGGUGAGUGGAACUGCGAGUGUAGAGGUGAAAUUCGUAGAUAUUCGCAAGAACACCAGUGGCGAAGGCGGCUCACUGGCCCGGUACUGACGCUGAGGCACGAAAGCGUGGGGAGCAAACAGG
rnacentral:rRNA from 1 species